GCCCGACCGUAAACUUUAAAUUACACCCACAUCGCCAGAGAACUACGAGCAAAGCUUAAAACUCAAAGGACUUGACGGUACCCCAUAUCCCCCUAGAGGAGCCUGUCCUAUAAUCGAUAUUCCCCGUUUAACCUCACCACUUCUAGCUUCUCAGCCUGUAUACCUCCGUCGUCAGCUUACCACGUGAGCGAAACUCAGUGAGCUUAAUGUCCACACGUCCACACGUCAGGUCAAGGUGCAGUAAAUGAAAUGGCAAGAGAUGGGCUACACUCUCUAAAAUAGAACACACGAAAAACCAUAUAUGAAAACUGGUCAAAAGGUGGAUUUAGUAGUAAAAGAAAAACAGAGUGUUUCUUUUAAUCCGGCACUGGGGUGUGUACACACCGCCCGUCACCCUCUUCAAAGCCCGACCUUAGUAUUUAACCACUUAUGCUCCAUAGAAGAGGCAAGUCGUAACAUGGUAAGUAUACCGGAAGGUGUGCUUGGAAA
rnacentral:rRNA from 1 species